rnacentral:rRNA from 1 species
GUCCCAGCCGUAAACGAUGGACGCUAGGUGUGGGGGGAACAUCCCUCCGUGCCGAAGCCAACGCAUUAAGCGUCCCGCCUGGGGAGUACGGCCGCAAGGCUAAAACUCAAAGGAAUUGACGGGGGCCCGCACAAGCAGCGGAGCAUGUGGCUUAAUUCGAAGCAACGCGAAGAACCUUACCAGGGCUUGACAUACGGGUGAAGCCGGAGAGAUCCGGUGGCCGAGAGGAGCCCGUACAGGUGGUGCAUGGCUGUCGU